rnacentral:sRNA from 1 species
GCUUUCGCAAAAUCGAAAGCCGAGCCUGGAAACUCGAACGAUAUAUCACUGGCGCAUAACACGCCUCUUAAUGCGUGUUUUUU